ACGAACGCUGGCGGCGUGCUUAACACCUGCCAGUCGAACGGAAAGGCCCUGCUUUUGUGGGGUGCUCGAGUGGCGAACGGGUGAGUAACACGUGAGUAACCUGCCCUUGACUUUGGGAUAACUUCAGGAAACUGGGGCUAAUACCGGAUAGGAGCUCCUGCUGCAUGGUGGGGGUUGGAAAGUUUCGGCGGUUGGGGAUGGACUCGCGGCUUAUCAGCUUGUUGGUGGGGUAGUGGCUUACCAAGGCUUUGACGGGUAGCCGGCCUGAGAGGGUGACCGGCAACAUUGGGACUGAGAUACGGCCCAGACUCCUACGGGAGGCAGCAGUGGGGAGUAUGGCACAAUGGGCGGAAGCCUGAGGCAGCAACGCCGCGUGCGGGAUGACGGCCUUCGGGUUGUAAACCGCUUUCGCCUGUGACGAAGCGUGAGUGACGGUAAUGGGUAAAGAAGCACCGGCUAACUACGU
rnacentral:rRNA from 1 species